rnacentral:rRNA from 1 species
CCUACGGGUGGCAGCAGUGGGGAAUAUUGCGCAAUGGGCGAAAGCCUGACGCAGCGACGCCGCGUGAGGGAUGAAGGUCUUCGGAUCGUAAACCUCUGUCAGUAGGGAAGAACGGUCACUGUGCUAAUCAGCAGUGAAUUGACGGUACCUGCAAAGGAAGCACCGGCUAACUCCGUGCCAGCAGCCGCGGUAAUACGGAGGGUGCGAGCGUUAAUCGGAAUUACUGGGCGUAAAGCGCUCGUAGGCGGUAUGUCAAGUCAAGGGUGAAAUCCCCGCGCUCAACGUGGGAACUGCCUUUGAUACUGGCAAACUGGAGUGUGUGAGAGGAUGGUGGAAUGCCAGGUGUAGGGGUGAAAUGCGUAGAGAUCUGGAGGAACAUCAGUGGCGAAGGCGACUAUCUGGCACAUAACUGACGCUGAGGAGCGAAAGCGUGGGUAGCAAACAGGAUUAGAUACCCGAGUAGUC